GACCCGAUCUCAUUCCAUAUCCCGUCCAACAACCUCCCCACUAUUUCGUCAUUUUCUUCGGCUUUAUACUCCUAUACCUCAGUUAAUCUUCUUGACCAUUUAUAUAACACCUCCACUAUUCUGCAUUUACCGUCUACUUCUUUACCUCUUCCACGACUCUCCUCUUUCUCCAUAACCAAUGACCAACACCACCGCACACCAUCUUCUUCUCCUCUCUCCUUUGUACUUUCUCUUUCACGACGAACUGGGUUGUUGCACACCCUUCGACGACCACCUGUUUCUUCUCCCCUCCCCCUCCCCCCUUUUCAGCUCUCUCACCAACAUCACGAUCGAUAACCAACAUUCCAUGAUAUGUUUUCCUAUUUCAUGUUUUGAUUUAAUUUUUUGUAUAUAUGUUAGGGCUUAUCAACUUCUUCCUUCCUCUUACUACUUACGCUCAUCCACCUUCUCUGCGGUUGCAUACAGUUUAGAAGGAGACCGAAUUCAACUCCUUUCCUUGGGAAACCCUUGCCUCACCACGAUGGAACAUGCUCCUGCAAAGUCUAUGGGUUACUUUGGUGAUGUCGGUAAUUAGAUCAUACAUAAGUAGGUGACAAGCUUUAUUUUGGGUGAAAGAACGCUUCAAAAGACACGCCACUCUUUCUCUUUCUCUCUUUCUCUCUCUCUAUCUCUCUCGUUUUCGGUAUCUUCUUCUUUUGAUGAUUGGUUCAAUUUUAUUUGCUUGCAGAAGGUUUUAGAGGUGGUGUUAGUUGAGCCAACGACAACGCUCCCCUCUCUGGUAGUACCAGGCCAAUAAGAUUAAGAGGCUUUGACCCCACGGAGACACCACAUCGUCAUUACAAUGAUUGGAUAAGACAACAGGUUGACCAAACAUUAUGGUUUAGAUGAAGAUAACAAAACUCAUGAUAGGGAGACAAGGGUAAAAUGACCGAAGACUUAACAUGGGGAAAACUUACUUCAUCUGUCAAAAAGACUUAAAUGCCCUUCUUAUCUCCAAGGAUGUGAGGACUCCACUAGAAGAAGACAUGAAAACUAUUCUUGUUUUUUUUUCAUCUCAUGAACGAAUAUUACAAAAUAAGACAUUAUAGACAGAUCUCUAACUGAUCUUGUAUCAAAACCAAUCAGUUAUGCAAGAGUUCUUCCUAUUUCAUCAGUGAAUGCAAGCUUUGGGGCUGGUCCACUACUCAAAAUGCAGAAGGCAUACACAAUCGAGUGUUGGACAACUUUGUUGGCAGGUUUUCCUAGAGGACAAGGAGAUCUAUAAUUUGGUGUCUAUGUAUUAUGUCCAAAUAUUAUAUAUAAAAUAUUAUUUUUCGUUUAUUAUAAUUUGAUUGCUAUUUAAACUAAACAAUUAUAGCAUUGCACUAUAGUGGAUGCGUAUGAAUAAAAUGGAUCGAGUUGUAUAUUUAAUUAUUGUUAGUGAACAUUGAACAUGUGGGUUGAGUAGUGAGAGUUUUUAAGAUUGCCUUGAA